UGUAUUCUUAUUGUAUUCAACUAUAUUCACGGCGUGAUAUAGGGGAUUACUCUGUUUUUAAAACGGAAAGUGAAUCAAUUAAUAUAAUAGACUCCU
rnacentral:pre_miRNA from 1 species